rnacentral:rRNA from 1 species
GAUGAACGCUGGCGGCGUGCCUAAUACAUGCAAGUCGAGCGAACAGAUGAGGAGCUUGCUCCUCUGACGUUAGCGGCGGACGGGUGAGUAACACGUGGAUAACCUACCUAUAAGACUGGGAUAACUUCGGGAACCGGAGCUAAUACCGGAUAAUAUAUUGAACCGCAUGGUUCAAUAGUGAAAGACGGUUUUGCUGUCACUUGUAGAUGGAUCCGCGCCGCAUUAGCUAGUUGGUAAGGUAAAGGCUUACCAAGGCAACGAUGCGUAGCCGACCUGAGAGGGUGAUCGGCCACACUGGAACUGAGACACGGUCCAGACUCCUACGGGAGGCAGCAGUAGGGAAUCUUCCGCAAUGGGCGAAAGCCUGACGGAGCAACGCCGCGUGAGUGAUGAAGGUCUUCGGAUCGUAAAACUCUGUUAUUAGGGAAGAACAAAUGUGUAAGUAACUAUGCACGUCUUGACGGUACCUAAUCAGAAAGCCACGGCUAACUACGUG